AGUGAACGCUGGCGGUAGGCCUAACACAUGCAAGUCGAACGGCAGCACAGUAAGAGCUUGCUCUUACGGGUGGCGAGUGGCGGACGGGUGAGGAAUACAUCGGAAUCUACUUUUUCGUGGGGGAUAACGUAGGGAGACUUACGCUAAUACCGCAUACGACCUACGGGUGAAAGCAGGGGAUCUUCGGACCUUGCGCGAUUGAAUGAGCCGAUGUCGGAUUAGCUAGUUGGCGGGGUAAAGGCCCACCAAGGCGACGAUCCGUAGCUGGUCUGAGAGGAUGUUCAGCCACACUGGAACUGAGACACGGUCCAGACUCCUACGGGAGGCAGCAGUGGGGAAUAUUGGACAAUGGGCGCAAGCCUGAUCCAGCCAUACCGCGUGGGUGAAGAAGGCCUUCGGGUUGUAAAGCCCUUUUGUUGGGAAAGAAAAGCAGCAGGUUAAUACCCCGCUGUUCUGACGGUACCCAAAGAAUAAGCACCGGCUAACUUCGUG
rnacentral:rRNA from 1 species